rnacentral:misc_RNA from 1 species
ACUAUUUUGGGUAAUCAUGUUAUUCCACAAACUUAAUUUCUCUUUCAAAUGUUGUUUGGUUAGAGCUUUCCUGUGCAGCAUCUAUCUUCUGCUUGGGACUUUUAUAUAUAUAUAUUCUAUCGGUCAGUGAUGCUUCUGACUAGUUUUCUAAAAUAUAAGUGACCCACAAACACUAACUGUACAUUUAAAAGGUCUUAAGCUGUCUCUUUCUUUUGUAAAUCAUCAUCGUCAUUACCAUCAUUGCUUGUUUAUUUGCUUAUUUGGAUAAGAAUGAAAGGAAAUCAACUGAGUUGUUCUUUUCAUAUUUCUUCCCCUUUCCAGACUUGGGGCAGUGAUGUGUAUGG